CCUACGGGAGGCAGCAGUGAGGAAUAUUGGUCAAUGGACGAGAGUCUGAACCAGCCAAGUAGCGUGAAGGAUGACUGCCCUCUGGGUUGUAAACUUCUUUUAUAUGGGAAUAAAACGUUCCACGUGUGGGAUUUUGUAUGUACCAUAUUAAUAAGCAUCGUCUAAUUCCGUGCCAGCAGCCGCGGUAAUACGGAGGAUCCGAGCGUUAUCCGGAUUUAUUGGGUUUAAAGGGAGCGUAGGUGGUUGGUUAGGUCAGUUGUGAAAGUUUCGGGCUCACCGUUAAAUUGCAGUUGAAAAUGGCAGUCUUGAGUACAGUAGAGGUGGGCGGAAUUCGUGGUGUAGCGGUGAAAUGCUUAGAUAUCACGAAGAACUCCGAUUGCGAAGGCAGUUCACUGGACUGCAACUGACACGGAGGCUCGAAAGUGUGGGUAUCAAACAGGAUUAGAUACCCGGGUAGUC
rnacentral:rRNA from 1 species